UCUGUGUUCUCAUUGAUGCUUCUGUUCGGC
rnacentral:piRNA from 1 species